CAUUAGCCAAGGGAAAUGUAAAUUAAAACUAUAAUGAGAUAUCACUACAUACUAUUAGAAUGGGUUAAGAUAAAAAAUUGUGAUGACACCAAAUCCUGAUGAGGAGACAGAGAAAUUGUGAUAUGUAUGGAUUGCUGGUGGGAAUGUAAAAUGGUGCAACCACUCAGGAAAACAAUGUGGCUAUUUCUUUUAAAACUAAAAUUGAACCUACCACACAACCCAUAAAUUUCACCUUAAUUAUUUGUCCUGGAGAAAUGAAAACUUGCAUUCACACAAAUCUUUUACAAACUGAGCCACAAAGGACCAGUCCUCAACAGCUCCACGCAGCACAAGAUAGCAAAAGAGCAGAGGACCAUGACACACAUCCAGUCUGCUUGCUGUACGAAGAAAUGGGAUGGAGCUCACUGGACUAAGUGAACAGUCAUGGUUUUGGACAAGUCAAGGGGAAGUAGGAGGCUUCAAAAUGGAAAUCCUGGACAUUCUGCUCUUCAGCAGUGGAUUACCUGGAAAAACAAAAGACAUGUGACCAUACAUGUUAUCUUAUAUUGAUGAAAUAGAUCAUACUGGACUAAACAGAACUAAAAAUAGAAACGCAUAGAAAAGAAUUCAUUGUUUCUGCUCAUUAGGAACUCUGGAAGGAGACAGCACCACAUGGCUGCCAUCUGGCAACACAGAGCAGCUGCUGCCAAAUAGGAGUGGAACCAUGUCAGAUUUAAGAUGCUGACACAACAAAUUCUGAUUCUAAGUGGCUUGGCCGGAUUCCUAUCUAUAGAUCAAGCAAGAUUUUCUGGCGUCAACCAAGUUGAGCGGCUGCCCUUUCACAAGAAGACUUUCAUCACCAGUAUUCCAUAAAGCAUCUUUGUCUCUUAUCUUUGCUACUCAAAUAUUUCAUUAAUUCUCUACAACUUCAGGACAAUGAAACAAGGGCCAGUGUGACUGGUAUCAUCCUCCCUACUUAUUCAUCAUUCUCAGCCUUCUGAGACUUUCACUGCUCUUCCUCAAUUUAUGUUUGUUCAUUAUUGUUACAAAGUUGUUAAACUCAAUACUGUUUAAUUAA